rnacentral:rRNA from 1 species
GAUAAACGCUGGCGGCGUGCAUGAGACAUGCAAGUCGAACGAAGGAUCGGGCUUGUUCGAUCCCUAGUGGCGGCCGGCGGCGUAACGCGUAGGUGACCUACACCGACGUGGGGAAUAACUGCCCGAAAGGGUGGCUAAUACUGCAUGCGGUCGCAAGUUCAUUCGUGCGAGUAAAGUCGCAAGGCGCUGCGGGAGGGGCCUGCGUCGGUUUAGCUGGUUGGUGGGGUAAUGGCUUACCAAGGCGAGGAUCGGUAGGUGGGCUGAGAGAACGGGCCCCGAGACCGGCGCGGGGACGCAGCCCGGACUCCUACGGGAUGGAGCAGUCGGUAAUGUUGCACAGUGGCGGAAGCCCUGAAGCAGCAACGCCGGGUGAGCGAUGAAGGCAGUCAAGUUGUAAUCCUCAAGUAUCAAGGACGAUGAUGACGGUACCUGGCGAGUAAGCCACGGCUAACUACGUG